UACGGGGGGGGCAAGCGUUGUUCGGAUUUACUGGGCGUAAAGGGCGCGUAGGCGGGAUGGCAAGUCGGUCGUGAAAUCCCUCGGCUCAACCGAGGAACGUCGAUCGAUACUGCUGUUCUUGAGGAUUGCAGAGGAGACUGGAAUUCCCGGUGUAGCGGUGAAAUGUGUAGAGAUCGGGAGGAACACCGGUGGCGAAGGCGGGUCUCUGGGCAAUUCCUGACGCUGAUGAGCGAAAGCUAGGGGAGCAAACGGG
rnacentral:rRNA from 1 species